rnacentral:rRNA from 1 species
UACGGAGGGUGCAAGCAUUAAUCGGAAUUAUUGGGCGUAAAGGGCGCGUAGGCGGGUAAGUAAGUCAGAUGUGAAAUUCCGGGACUCAAUUCCGGAGCUGCAUUUGAAACUGCUUGUCUUGAGGAUUGGCGGAGAGAACGGAAUUCCACGUGUAGCGGUGAAAUGCGUAGAUAUGUGGAAGAACACCGGUGGCGAAGGCGGCCUGCUGGGCAGUGGCUGACGCUGAGGCGCGACAGCGUGGGGAGCAAACAGG